ACUGUGAAGAAAGAAGGAGGAAGGGAGGAUGUUCUUCGUUAUGGCAUUUUCUCCCUCCCAAAAACGCAUGAUGAAGCCCUUCUUUCCUGGAAAUGGAUUGUCUCCCAGAUUGCACUGAGGGGAGUGAGCGAGUGUUUUCAUGGGGCCGAUCUGCCUGCAAGAGUUAAACCACAAAACUGGAAAUGGGCACUGAUAAUUCAGCUCUUCUAUUUCUGAACUUUUUUUCUGAACACCUGUUUUUCCUAAUUGAUUGCUGUUAUGAAAGAGAAGUGCACAAGGUGCACACAUCCUCAAAGGCUACUUAAAAUUGAAGAGGAAAUGUUGAACUGCAACUGUUUUUGAUGUCAGACUGUGAAAGACAGUAGAGAGAUACCAUAUGUGAGCUGACUGCUUCUGAGAAUGCUUCCAUGUUUACUUUUCCUGUACCUUCAGUUUCUUUUUAAGGUCUCAAAUGCAGCCCGCAAUACAAAAAUGGUCAGUCUUAAAUAGUAAUGUGUUUAUUUAAUCCUAAUGACUAACAACAACAAAAACUUUUUGUAUCUGUUAACAUUACUGUCACUUUCGAGACACCAGGAAUUUUCUAGUAUCUAACCCGAAGUCCACUGAAACUAAUAGAAAGACUCCCAUUGCGGACAGAGAAUUUAAAUAGAAAAUAGAAAAGUUGAGACCCACUUAAACCAGAGUAGCAUUUUAUAAAGAAAAACAUGGAAAGAGAAAGGUCUUCAAAAUAACCACACAUAAAUCCUAUGAAUAUUUGGAUGAGGGGAAGAACUACAGGAAUUACACUACACAGAAAGGUGCCAUGUACAGGAAGAAGAUGUUUGUGAGAAAAGGAAAAUACUUAUAAAUGUUGACAGAGACAGAAGCUUUGGGUGAUUUUUUGAGACUCGGCUGAGAUGGCUCAGUUUCUGUUAUCAACUUGUUCCUUGUCAAGAAGAAUUAAAAACUUUUUGCUGUUUCCCAAAAUGGUGGUUAUUAAGUGUCACAUUUCCCGGGGUGUUGACAUACUAGUGAGGAUGACAGGAAUUGUGUUCAUAAUUUUAAAGGAUUCUGCUGUAAUGAGUGAUUUUAUUUAUUUAUUGUACAUCUAUUGUUGUUUUCAAAUGUCCAUACAUUUCAAAUACUUACUGAAAUUCUCCCUUAAGGAUAAAUAAAUGAUUAAUUUACACAGUU